rnacentral:rRNA from 1 species
UACAGAGGUCCCAAGCGUUGUUCGGAUUCAUUGGGCGUAAAGGGUGCGUAGGUGGCGCCGUAAGUCAGGUGUGAAAUCUCGGGGCUUAACUCCGAAACUGCAUUUGAUACUGCGGUGCUUGAGUUCGGGAGAGGUGAGUGGAACUGCGAGUGUAGAGGUGAAAUUCGUAGAUAUUCGCAAGAACACCAGUGGCGAAGGCGGCUCACUGGCCCGAUACUGACGCUGAGGCACGAAAGCGUGGGGAGCAAACAGG